rnacentral:lncRNA from 1 species
GAAGUCAGCCACUAAGUCUGGCCCACACUCAAGGGAGGGCAAUCGGCUCUACCUUUCGAGUGGAGGACUAAAAAAGGAUUUGUGGAUGUAUUUGAAAACCAUCACAGAUGAAUAGACAUCAUAUCCUUUUGCCGUGAUAAAUGUGGAAUAAUCAUCCUUAUAUGAAGAGCCUACUCACUUAUGCUGGUAAUUUCCCAGGAGUGGGAUCGCUGGGCUUGAAGAAAUGUACAUUUUAAUUUUUAAUAGACACUGCCAGAUGGCUUUCCAGGGAGUCUGAAACAAUUCACAUUUCCACUUUUUUCCUACAUGCCUGCCAAUAGUAGGAAUAAACACAACGUGCAAAGGAAGAUAAGGCUGUUAAACAGACUCUGUGUAACAACAAGCAUUCCAGGAAUCUCUGUGAUAUCUUAGUCCUGAGGCAAUUAGAGAGUCUCUCCCAAGGCCAGUCUGUCAGCCUCCCAUGAGUGUAG